rnacentral:rRNA from 1 species
AUUGAACGCUGGCGGCGUGCCUUACACAUGCAAGUCGAACGGCAGCGCGGGAGCAAUCCUGGCGGCGAGUGGCGAACGGGUGAGUAAUAUAUCGGAACGUGCCCAGUCGUGGGGGAUAACGCAGCGAAAGCUGUGCUAAUACCGCAUACGAUCUAAGGAUGAAAGCGGGGGAUCGCAAGACCCCGCGCGAUUGGAGAGGCCGAUAGCAGAUUAGCUAGUUGGUGGGGUAAAGGCCCACCAAGGCGACGAUCUGUAGCUGGUCUGAGAGGACGACCAGCCACACUGGAACUGAGACACGGUCCAGACUCCCACGGGAGGCAGCAGUGGGGAAUUUUGGACAAUGGGCGCAAGCCUGAUCCAGCAAUGCCACGUGCAGGAUGAAGGCCUUCGGGUUGUAAACUGCUUUUGUACGGAACGAAACGGCCCUUUCUAAUACAGGGGGCUAAUGACGGUACCGUAAGAAUAAGCACCGGCUAACUACGUGCCAGCCGCCGCGGUAAAAC